rnacentral:rRNA from 1 species
GACGAACGCUGGCGGCGUGCUUUACACAUGCAAGUCGAACGGCAAGGCCCUGCUUUUGUGGGGUGCUCGAGUGGCGAACGGGUGAGUAACACGUGAGUAACCUGCCCUUGACUUUGUGAUACCUCCAGGAAACUGGUGAUAAUACCUGAUAGGAGCUCCUGCUGCCUGGUGGGGGUUGGACCGCUUAGGCGGUUGGGGGUGGACUCGCGGCUUAUCAGCUUGUUGGGGGGGUAGUGGCUUACCAAGCGUUUGGUGGGUAGCCGGCCUUAGGGGUUGGCCACCGACCUGGGGACUAAGGGACGGCGCAGACUCCUACGGGAGACAAAGGUGGGGAAUAUGAUACAAUGGUGGGAAGCCUGGGGCAGCGACGCCGCGUGCGUGAUGAGGGCCUGCGGGGUAUAAACCGCUUUCGCCUGAUACGAAGCGUGAGUGACGGUAAUGGAUAAAGAAGCACCGGCUAACUACGUG